CGCUCUCUACGAUUUAAGGGCGAUUUCCAAUCGCCUCCAUCUCUAUUCUCGUUCUCUACUCUGAACUUGCCCAAAUCUACAAGAAUCAGAAGUUCAGAACCCAUUUAUUUCAGUUUAUCUAUCUGUCUGCAAGAAUCAAAACCUAUUAUCACCGGAGUUUAACCCACCACUCUCUUCUCUCUCUCUAAGCCAUUGUUCAUGUAGAGGCAGAUUUGUAUCUAGCACCUCAAAUUCAUGCAGCAAUCAAAAGACUCAGUUCCCUUUUCUAUCUACGUUUAAUGAGGCACACAAUGGGCUUCCUGCCUUCCAAGAUGCAAUGCCAAAAAAGCAGCUUGAUACACCAGUUAGGCAUUUGGUUGAGGUAAGGGUUGUUCUUCAUGAUUGUAUGGCAUAUAAUUUCUUUGGGUUAGGAAAUUCUCAAAUAUCAGAUAUUUACUACUUGUCUACUUUGAUAAUGCACAUUCAUUCAUCUCAUUUUUAUAACCACUUUUCCGACAGCCUUGAGUCAUUCAUCUCAUUUUUAUU